GCCACAAAAGGCCCGUGCUGCCCAGCAGGUUUGUCCUAUUCCCAGACACAGCACUGUACAUCUGUGGAAAAUGCUGACCGAUGAUGUACAAAAUAAUUGAGUUUUUCAUCUUCCAAGUUAGCACUUUUUCUUCCCUUGGAGGGCUCUCAGUUCUAUUCCCGGACACCGUUCUGCUCUGUUAUACUCACCCCUUUUCUGUAUGGAAGCACUAAUUGCCACACAGAGCUAGAGAUGCACCUUGUCUGAUGGCUUAAGGCAGCAGGCACUCGUUAGAUGCCACGUAAGCUCUUUCAGAUCCAGUGGCUGAUGUCAGACACUUGAGAGGAAGGUGCCAGAAACAAGCAGUAGAAAACUGUCAGACGGUUUUUGGGCUGCUGUGAGCUGGUUAUGUUACA
rnacentral:lncRNA from 1 species